AUACACACCUUACAGAAACUGUGACCACAGGGAGUAGUCACUGGGUCAUUCAGGAGAUCCAGACACACUGGACAGCUGAAGUGAUCCUGAUAUACUGAAAUACUGGCCUCUGCCAUUUUCCUGCACUGAGAGAGUACCUAGAGUCGUGAGCUGAAACACCAGAGCUGUGGUUCUUCAUGUCGGCUCGAACGACACCAGCCUGAGGCAGUCAGAGAUCCUGAAGAGGGACUUCAACACCCUGGUAGAGACGGUUUGCAGCACAGUGCCCACGGCGAGGAUCAUCGUGUCUGGACCGCUUCCAACGUACCAGCGAGGAAUUGAAAGGUUCAGUAGACUUUUUGCUUUAAAUGAAUGGUUACAGUCAUGGUGUCAGGCUCAGAAACUACUCUUUAUUGAUAAUUGGAAUGUUUUCUGGGAGCGUCCUAGGCUAUUCCGUGCUGACGGCCUGCACCCCAGCAGAGUUGGAGCGGAGAUCCUCUCGGACCACAUCUCCAGGGAGCCGAACACCUUCUGAUCGGAGCGCAUGCUCGCGUCACUCGAACAAAGUCACGUGACUCCUGCUCUGUACUGCGACUGCGCAGAAGACUGAACUGAGAGAACAUACAGUUUAUUAACAGUUUAUUCUUCCACUUCUGAAGUCUGUCACCAUAUUAUAAAGGAUUGAGGAAGGAGUCUGAAUAAUUCCAGAGUGCACUGUAUGUUAAGUGGACUGUUAAGCAGAACAUUGUUAAAGAUAUAAGAUAAUAAAGGUCUUUUACACACAGUAGGUUGUGUUUCCACCAGCAAGCAGCA